UUGAGAGUAGCUUAAUUUAGAGCGCCACACUGAAGAUGUGGAAGUGGAUACUUAUUCCUCUCAUA
rnacentral:tRNA from 1 species